rnacentral:tRNA from 1 species
AAGUAAGAAGCAAAUAUUGCAUUUAGUUUCGGCCUAAAAAUUUGGUGUAACUUCACCCUUACUUA